GGGGAAAGCGGGCAUCCCUGAUGGGUGCCAUUCCUGAUUGUGAAAGGGGCUGACAGUGCCCCGUUAAUGCGGAUCCUCGCGGUGGGGCACGUGUACAAUGAGAGCACCCAGGACAGCAUGUUGGGGCCGAAUCCCAUGUGUGUGAGGGUGCUCCCCAGAUACGACCAGCUCACCCGGUCAAAAGCCUUUUCGGCAUCGGUGGAAAGUAGUAGAAGUUCUCUACGAUGCGUCCGUGCUAUGUGUAGGAUGUUCAGAGCCUUAAUCGUGUUGUCUCUCCCUUCCCUGCCCGGGAUAAACCCUACCUGAUCCGAGUGUACCAAGUGGGGGAGGUGUCUUGCAACUCUCAGGGCAAUGGCUUUUGCGAAUAGUUUCAGGUACGAUCUAUCUUUUGAACCACUGGACCAAUUUGUAUGAUUUUGACGUAUGUUUGUAUUUGGAGUAUGCUGAUUCUGAAAAUGUAAGUGAAUGUGAUGCAAAAACUGUAUUUCUCUGCCUGUGAUAAUUACA